AGCCGCCGCCAGGUCAGGCUCAACUAUGGGUGGGGGGGCGCGUGAUCACAGACCUGGUGUGUGAGGCGACUGGAAAGACGGGUCACCCGACCAGCACACGCCCUAUGAGAGGAGAGAGAUACAGUGUGGCAUCUCCCAGUCAUGUGAGGGGCCCCGCUGGCAGGUCACAUUUCUGAAGCAUCUUGGUUCUCACCUAUUGUGGCUCCACCAUCCUCGCAACGCUGAUGCAAAAUGAGCCACCGCUGCUGCUGCUUACUUUAUCCCAGGCAUCGCAAAACUAAUAGGAUGUGGCUUUUACUAGCCACGUUUACAGGAGAUGGAGUUCUGGAGGAGGAAAUACAAGCCCCAGCCAAAGGUGGUCUGAUGGAUACAAAUGCCAGUCUGGGUCUGGCCUCACACAGGACUGACCUGAGCCCGGUUUAGGCUUCAGGGACCUGUUCUGGAAGAUGUUUCUU